UCUAUUUCAGAUUUGCUCGCAUGACUUAAGAAACUUCAAAACUGUGUACCCUGCUUGCACAGCUCCGAAUUGGUAUGCAGAGGUGGCUAUUGCUACUGUGGUUGCCUUAUUACAGAAGUCGGCAAUGGCCACCCUCCCGGGGUGUGCCUGUGAAGACCGGAAAGGUAAAAGCAAGAAGACAGGAGAGGCCACCUUCACACACCCUUUCAAAUUGAUUAACCUUUAUGGCACGACAGCAUUGGACAAUAUUUUAAAAGUUCAAAAGAAGUUUUCUUCCUAAACAUUUACUUAGCUUUUGGCCUUGAGUUGAAGAGAAUCAAAGAUAUACACCAUUCCUAGAACCUAGAUACAAGAUCCAGGGGUUUUUUCCAAACCAGCAACUCUUGCAGAAUAUUCAUGAAACUCUACGGUGUGCGGCCAAGAAGACACCUGAACUCAAGCUGCAGAUCUGAUACGACUUCCCAAUGCGAUGGUGGGUGUAUGACGUGUGAGCCCUAAGUCCUGAAAGCUACACUCUUUAGAACAUGCUUCACACAUUGUAUUGGACCUGCCUUCUGAAUACUUUCUCUCCACGACUGUGGGUCCUGCUUAUAAAGCCUGUGCUGUCUUCAUCAAAGAACCUCCAGCAUCUAGCAUGACGCCUGGUGCAUAGCUACGUCACCGGCAUGACAGACGAGACACAAGUCCCAGGAGGGCAGGGCGUCUGUAGGGUUUGCUCACUGCUCUGUCCCAGUGCCUGGCACGUAGAGGUGCUCAGCAAGUAUUUGCUGAGUGAGCAUCAGGCCGUUGAGGAGUGGAAAGUCAAGUUCUCACCACCCAGAGGCGUGCCCCAGGAUUUCUCAGAUUGUUUCACUUGCACAGACUGAGGUAGCUUUAGCAGGAGGGAGGAUGGGAAGGGUGAGAGGCAGUGGCUGUGAAAGGCAGGGAGGGUGAGGCAUCUUCAACCUUGACCGUCACUCUUACCCUGAUACAGACGGGGCUCCAGCAGCCCAGCCACCUACUCUCCUGCCGACCACUGAGAUCUGAGAGUCAGGAAGCCAAGCUGCCUUUCUACAGAGUGAUGCUGCUUCAGAAGAUGACCGGAGCGUCCUUGUCGGCAGCCCCUCUGUCUCACACAUUGCAACUGCUUCCCACGCAGUCCUGCCCUGAUGCUCCCAGCCUUGCCCUUAAGUGACCCUGAAAGCUGCCUUUUUCCAGAUGAGGAGACGCAGCACAUUUUUGCCAUUGGCAGGCUCCCUCGGGCCAGGAUUCCUAAAUAGAUUUAAAUCGAACAACUUAUCUCUUGGAAACUGAUUAGCACCCUGAUGUUUGCUCAGCUGCCUAUGUUGAAAUCUACUCUUAUCCAUCAACUAGCAGAUAUGGAAUACCUCCUGGGAGUCUGGGACCCUGCUAGGUCCAGAGAAACAUGAAGUAGUCCACACCAGGAAGCAGUUUCCUCCUUGCCUGGGGAGGCCCGAGAAAGUAGAGGACAGCAGCUAGGUGCUUCAUCAUGUGACAUGUGACAUGGGUGCCAAGGUCGCAGCAGUUGAGGGACUGGAGGGUGACUGGGGAUGGCAGUAGGUGGGGGCUGUGAGGCUGAGACUCAAGCAGAUGGAGCACAGAAGUGGGGAAACACAGUCGUGAGGGUGGCUGGGAGCACAGGCAUGGGGGCAUGAUGUCUCAGGACACCUCAAGGAGGCCUGCCUGGAUAGAGCGCGUGUGCCAGGACACCUGGUCGACAGGGCUGACUAGCUGGGGCAGGGCCAGCCGCCAGGGGCCAUGGAAGGCCGUGACGUAUGAAGAAUUACACGGGUGAUUCUGAGAGGUCAACUUGCUCAGCAGGCAGAAUGGGAAACAGACCAGAGGCUGCAGGGACACCAACCAGAGAGGAGUGUGGCUGGCACGAGGUAGUGCAGGCUGGUCUGGGGUAGAUGGGGUGGGAAAGAAAGGAUAAGGCGAGGUAAGAACGGCAGGAUGUGGCGACAGAGUGGGUGCACUGGACGACAGAAAGAGAGGCUUUGGGCCCCAUGAGGUAAGAGGGGUCAAAAGUUUAGGGCAAAAUUCAAUGACACAAAAUUAGCAAGAGAGCUGUUUAAUUUCUUUUUAAAAAAAAUUGCAUCAUCUUUUUAAAUUAUGGUAAAAUACACAUAACAUGAAAUUUACCAUUUUAGACAUUUUUAAGUGUACAGUUCAGUGGCAUUAAGUACUUUCAUGAUGUUGCAUAACCAUCACCAGCACCCAUCUCCGGGACUCUUUCAUCUUCGUAAACUGAAGCUCUGUCCCCAUUAAACUAACUCCCCAUCCCAUCCCCAUCGCCCCUGGCAACCCCCAUUCUGCUUUCUGUCUCCAGGAAUCUGAUUCCUCUAGGGACCUCUUAUAAGUGGAAUCUUACAGUAUUUGUCCAUUUGUGACAGGCUUACUUCACUCAGUGCAACGUCCUAAAGGUUCAUCCAUGAUGUAGCAGGUGUCAGAAUUCCCUCCCUUUUUAAGACUGAACAGUAGCCCAUUGUAUGCAUAUACACAUUUUGUUUACCCAUCAUCUGUUGAUGGACACUUGGGUUGCUUCCACCUUCUGACUAUUGCGAAUAAUGCUGAUACGUAUAUGUGUGUACAAAUAUCUGUUCGAGUUCCUGCUUUCAAUUUAUCUUUCUCUUCUUGCAUUUUAUGAUAAGCAAAUCAAGUCAUUUCUUCAACAUUUUGCUUAUAAAUCUCUUCAGGUAAAUAUCCAGUUUUAUUGCUUGAAAGUUUUACCUUCCGCGAAACACUGGAACACAGAUCAUCCAAGUUCUUUGCCUUUUUAUACUAAGGAUCGCCUUUCCUCCAGUUUCCAAUAAGAUGUUCCUCAUUUCUGUGCGAGACUUUAUAAGAAAGGCCUUUAACAUCCAUAUUUCUGCCAGCAUUCUGUUCAUGACGAUAAAGGUAUUUUCUAAGAUGACAGAGGCUCUCUCUAGCUCUUCUCUUUCCUCCUGAGUCCUCACCAGAAUCGCCUUUAACAACCACGUAUCUCCCUAUAGUCACUUUAAGGCAAUCCAGGAUUUUUCUGGCAUGCAUCUUAAAACUUCCACCUCUACCCAUCACCCAGCUCCAACACCACUUCCACAUAUUUAGAUCUUCAUUACAGCAGCACCUUGCUUCUCAGCACCCAAAUCUGUAUUAGUCUGCCUGCAGACUAUGUGGCUUGAACAAUCGGAAUUUAUCUUCUCACAGUUCUGGAGGCUCGAUGUCCAAGAUGAAGACGCCAGCAAAUUCAGUUCCUGGCAAGAGCUCUCUUCCUGGCUUGCAGGCAACCACCUUCUUGCCAUGUCCUCACAUGGCCUCUGCUCUGUGCAUACGCGGAGAGAGAGAGAUCUCUUCUUAGAAAGACACCAGUUCUAUCAGACUAGGGUCCCACCCUUAUGACCUCAUCUAACCUUAAUUACCUUCUUAAAGGCCCUCUCUCCAAACACAGUCACACUGGGGUUUAGGGCUUCUACAUAUGAAAUUUGUUCCACAGCUCAGUCCAUAACAGCAUACAUCUCAUGGCCUUGUUUAGCUGGCUGUGACAUCAUGAAAUGAGUGCUGGACCUCAGUCAGGUCAAUUUCUCCCCUCAUCCAAGCCCGUCCUCCUUGGAAAGCCAUUUAACCACAAUGGGUCUCAGAAACGUCAUGGGGGAAAACGUGACCUUUUCUCAGAGUUGCACGAAAGGUUAAAUCCAAUCAUGAACGUGGAGACAUUUUAGUACCCCAAGGAAUUCCUAGUCACAGCCUUUGAGGUCCCCGCAAUGGUCUAACAGUCAAAUGACCAAAGCCUGUCUCUAUCCUCAUCGCUGGGCACACUCUUCACACUGACCUCUUGCCUGCUAGUAAGUGCGGGAGGAGAGCAUCCUCUUUUUAGGCACUGUUUGGGAAGAGAGAUGGAGGAUGGCAAACACUUUGUCUCAAAGGAGUCUCAGCUGUGUUCGGUCUCAGCAGGACCUGAGUGGGUGGUGGUGUCUGCCGUGGGUGUGGGGAGUGGGGCCAGACGUAGCCCAGACCAGCUGCGGCUCUGGUGGUCAAUCACUAGGCUCCUGUUUUUCAAUUUUCUAGGCUCUCAGUAACCCUCUUAUCACUCUCCAGUGCAGGAUUUGUUUUUCAAGGAUAUGGAAUCCUAAUGCCAGAAGGCGGUAAGCACUUUUUAAUGAUCAAACCUAAAACCACUGUCCUGUCAAUCCCCUGUAUAUAUGGAAAUGAGCAGAGUGCCUUACACUAAGUGAAUGUUUCAUGAGUGAAUUCCUGCAUGCACACACGAAGCACUUCUGAGGACGCAUUGCUAGCCUUCAUGCCUCCAGCAUUGUACCUUGAAUUACAAAGCAGAUAGAAGAGCAGACCGCCACAGGUCAUCCAGACAAGACAGAUACUUCCGAUAACUAAACCAAUACACAGUGACCAGCAGAUUUACCCACGUUUACAUGCACUCCCCUUCUGGUUGCUCUCACAGCGAUUUUUCAGUCUGCCAUUCAGCACUUCCCAUGUGAUAUUAUAUUACAUAAUUCUGCUUGUCGUUCUUACUAGACAAUGAACUCCCUGAGGGCAGGCAGCACCUCAUUCGUCUGUGUUGCUGAAGCCUGGCACACAGUCUCUUCCAUCAUUCGGGUCGUGUGUGGGAUGAUUCAACAGGUGAACGGGGAGGGGUGCCGUCCAGCUCCCAGGGCUGGCGAUGUGAGCGAUGUCUUCCCCUCCUCAUUCCUUUCUCCCACAUCUCAUCACCUAAGGGUAGCAAAGCAGGCACCACUUGAUUUAUUUUGGUCUUUGUGUCUGCACACGCAUACAUUAGCUGGCUUUUUAAAAAGAGGUGGCUCAUGGAAAGACUGGAAUUAGAUGUUAUUUUGGAUGCUCGCAGAGCUAAUUAUGGGAUUAGAAAAAUGCCCUUCCCCUGAACAGGAAUUGUGAUGCUUCCUAUUUCUUAAUGUAAAACAUGAAGUAAACAUAAUUUACUGUCAUUUUUAAUGUUCCAGUACAUUUCAGAGACCCAUUUAAGAUACAUGAUUUUCAAAUGCGAGAUCAGCAGGGUGGGAAAGCCUCUAUGGAAUUAAUGUGCUACAACGUAUUCGAAUAGCUGUAACUCCAGGGCCGGCCUUGAUACUUGUUUUGUUGCCAUCAGGGAGGGAAGCACAAGAACACAUAAACAGGGCCUUGCCAAUGGGAUGUGUUCUCCCUGGGCCGUUAAUUCAAAUGCUCAUUUUCUAGCUCAACCCAGAUGAUCAGAGAGGUUACAAGACAAGCCGCUGAAAUGUUUAUUGUGACGAACGUGUAGCGGGUGGGACAGGAGGAGGAGUGUAAAAUAUGAGUGUGUUCAGCUUUAGAUAUAUACAGAGGAGAGAUGUUGAAAUCUGUCAGAUAUAACGAAGAAGUGUUUUAAAAAUAGAUACACAUGGUUAAAAAUAGAUACACAUGGUUAAAACUCAAAACAAGUGAAAAAAUUUUAAUAAAAAUCUACACGUUAGGACCUACAAUUAGAAUAUACAGCUAUUUACUGGGGGGCUUUGGGGAGAAGAAUUUAAAAAAAAAAGAAGACUGGCAACAGAUGUUAGCUCAGGUGCCAAUCUUUCAGAAAAAACAAAACAACAACUACAUGUUAAAAAGUCGUUCUCCCACCUCUUAUUUAGUAGUUUCUGGAAUGUCUCUCCAGCACUCCUUUAUGCAUAAAUGGAUAUAUUUUAUUUUCCCCAAAAAAGUAAGAUUAUAAAGGAGGAAUGUUCAUUGCAGAUCACGUUUAUUUUGUACUUACGACACGCUCUAAGCGUCCAUUGAAUCCUGACCUCGAUCCUGAGAGGUGAGCACGGUUACCACCCCCUCUACAGCUGCAGAGACUGAGGCAAGCACACCCCGAGGGAGGUGACUCCCACAGCAGGUGUCGAGGCAGGAUCUGCACCGGCCGGGUUUGAGCUCCCAACCUCUACCCCCUUGCCCUCAGACAGAGAGAAAAAUCUGCAGAGUUUCUAUUAUCUCCAAGGAGACAAACCAUUUCUCCCCAGGUCCUAGAAGACAGGCCAGGGAAGUCCCUGGAACAUGAAGAGUGGAGCAGCAAAGAGUGUCCCCAGCCAGAGAGCCACGGUGGGGAGCCUUUGCUGACUAAUAUCGUCACAGCCGUGGGAAAGCUGCUUCGUGUGGAGUGGAGGAAAAGGUCACUGGAGUGGAGAAAGUCAAGGAACUGAGAAGUAGACUGUCAGCUGGGCCAGCCAUAUAGACAUCGAAGUCACCAGAGUCGCGUGCCUCAGAUCAAAAGCUCAAAAUGUCUUCCUCAAGUUUCUUCAUGAAAAAAGACUCUGAAAGAAAAGGCAAUUACUAGCAUGAGUGAUGGCAAGUAACGAGAACGAGUCGGUAAGAGAAGAGGACAGUAUUCUGAAUGGGGAUUCACAACGGGCUUCAGUGAUAUCCUCGGGCGAUGAUUAGACUCUGCACUGCGACAUGCAGAGCAGAUGAAAGUGCACCAAAAGGGGAUGCGCAAAAGAAACUGGACACAGACUAACGGAUUGCCAGAACAGCACCAGAGCUGAGGGAAGGGACCCAGCACCAGGGGACACUCGUGCUCUGGGGAGCGAGUCUGCUUGCUGUCACUGUGCACCACUGCGAAGACUCUGAGGGGUUAGGAGCUCUCCACCAACCAGUGCAUGCCAACCAAAGAC
ensembl:lncRNA